rnacentral:siRNA from 1 species
GUAUUGGCACUGUACCUUCAGGAC